GCAAGGGUAAACUAAAUAAGUUGUCCGGUUCAUACCCGGAAUAUGAAAUUAAAUUUUUCCUUGUU
rnacentral:tRNA from 2 species